UGAUCGGUACGGGUUGUGAGAGCAAGGGCCCGGAGAUGGAACCUGAGACAAGGUUCCAGACCCUACGGGGUGCAGCAGGCGCGAAACCUCCGCAAUGUACGAAAGUGCGACGGGGGGAUCCCAAGUGUCAUGCUUUUUUGUAUGACUUUUCAUUAGUGUAAAAAGCUUUUAGAAUAAGAGCUGGGCAAGACCGGUGCCAGCCGCCGCGGUAACACCGGCAGCUCGAGUGGUAGCUGUUUUUAUUGGGCCUAAAGCGUUCGUAGCCGGUUUGAUAAGUCUUUGGUGAAAGCUUGUAGCUUAACUAUAAGAAUUGCUGGAGAUACUAUUAGACUUGAAGUCGGGAGAGGUUAGAGGUACUACCGGGGUAGGGGUGAAAUCCUAUAAUCCUGGGAGGACCACCUGUGGCGAAGGCGUCUAACUGGAACGAUCUUGACGGUGAGUAACGAAAGCCAGGGGCGCGAACCGGAUUAGAUACCCGGGUAGUCCUGGCCGUAAACGAUGUGGACUUGGUGUUGGAAUGGCUUUGAGUUGUUCCGGUGCCGAAGGGAAGCUGUUAAGUCCACCGCCUGGGAAGUACGGUCGCAAGACUGAAACUUAA
rnacentral:rRNA from 1 species